GACGAACGCUGGCGGCGUGCUUAACACAUGCAAGUCGAACGCGCCUGUCCUCUGGGUUUCUGGGGGGUGGGUGAGUGGCGAACGGGUGAGUAACACGUGAGUAACCUGCCCCCUUCUUCGGGAUAACGGUCUGAAAGGGCUGCUAAUACCGGGUAUUCACUGGUCUCCGCAUGGGGUCUGGUGGAAAGGUUUUUUUCUGGUGGGGAUGGGCUCGCGGCCUAUCAGCUUGUUGGUGGGGUGAUGGCCCCCCAAGGCUUUGACGGGUAGCCGGCCUGAGAGGGUGACCGGUCACAUUGGGACUGAGAUACGGCCCAGACUCCUACGGGAGGCAGCAGUGGGGAAUAUUGCACAAUGGGCGCAAGCCUGAUGCAGCGACGCCGCGUGAGGGAUGGAGGCCUUCGGGUUGUGAACCUCUUUCGCCCGUGGUCAAGCCGCGACGUGGGUCGUGGUGAGGGUAGUGGGUAAAGAAGCGCCGGCUAACUACGUG
rnacentral:rRNA from 1 species